rnacentral:rRNA from 1 species
AGAGUUUGAUCAUGGCUCAGGACGAACGCUGGCGGCGUGCUUAACACAUGCAAGUCGAACGGAAAGGCCCUUCGGGGUACUCGAGUGGCGAACGGGUGAGUAACACGUGGGUGAUCUGCCCUGCACUUUGGGAUAAGCCUGGGAAACUGGGUCUAAUACCGAAUAGGACCACGCGCUUCAUGGUGUGUGGUGGAAAGCUUUUGCGGUGUGGGAUGGGCCCGCGGCCUAUCAGCUUGUUGGUGGGGUAAUGGCCUACCAAGGCGACGACGGGUAGCCGGCCUGAGAGGGUGACCGGCCACACUGGGACUGAGAUACGGCCCAGACUCCUACGGGAGGCAGCAGUGGGGAAUAUUGCACAAUGGGCGCAAGCCUGAUGCAGCAACGCCGCGUGAGGGAUGACGGCCUUCGGGUUGUAAACCUCUUUCAAUAGGGACGAAGCGCAAGUGACGGUACCUAUAGAAGAAGCACCGGCCAACUACGUGCCAGCAGCCGCGGUAAUACGUAGGGUGCGAGCGUUGUCCGGAAUUACUGGGCGUAAAGAGCUCGUAGGUGGUUUGUCGCGUUGUUCGUGAAAACUCACAGCUUAACUGUGGGCGUGCGGGCGAUACGGGCAGACUAGAGUACUGCAGGGGAGACUGGAAUUCCUGGUGUAGGAGUGGAAUGCGCAGAUAUCAGGAGGAACACCGGUGGCGAAGGCGGGUCUCUGGGCAGUAACUGACGCUGAGGAGCGAAAGCGUGGGGAGCGAACAGGAUUAGAUACCCCGGUAGUCC